rnacentral:rRNA from 1 species
GAUGAACGCUGGCGGCGUGCCUAAUACAUGCAAGUCGAGCGAACAGACGAGGAUCUUGCUCCUCUGACGUUAGCGGCGGACGGGUGAGUAACACGUGGAUAACCUACCUAUAAGACUGGGAUCACUUCGGGAAACCGGAGCUAAUACCGGAUAAUAUAUUGAACCGCAUGGUUCAAUAGUGAAAGACGGUUUUGCUGUCACUUAUAGAUGUAUCCGCGCCGCAUUAGCUAGUUGGUAAGGUAACGGCUUACCAAGGCAACGAUGCGUAGCCGACCUGAGAGGGGGAUCGGCCACACUGGAACGGAGACACGGUCCAGACUACUACGGGAGGCAGCAGUAGGGAAUCUGACGCAAUGGGCGAAAGCCUGACGGAGCAACGCCGCGUGAGUGAUGAAGGUCUUCGGAUCGUAAAACUCUGUUAUUAGGGAAGAACAAAUGUGUAAGUAACUAUGCACGUAUUGACGGUACCUAAUCAGAAAGCCACGGCUAACUACGUG